rnacentral:piRNA from 1 species
UACCAUCAUGUUCUGGUGGGGAGG